AUGCAAACACUACGCAGAAAAAUGCCAUCAUGCUCAACACCAUUGUUGUACCUCUGCCUACUGCUGGUGGCGUGCCUUCUUCUCUUGGAAGAAGCACAUGCGGUGCACCAUGGAGGGAUCUCUCUGAGGUCUCAACGCAUGGCCCUCCUCCACUGGAAAGCUACACUUGCGAGCCCACCACUGCAGAUGAGCUCUUGGCAAGAAAACACCAGGCCCUGCAACUGGUCGGGCAUCAUGUGCACGGCUAUCCGCCAUGGCCGCGGCAUGCCCUGGGUGGUAACCAACAUAUCCCUGCCGGGUGCUGGCAUCCGUGGCCAGCUUGGUGAGCUCAACUUCUCGGCUCUUCCAUUCCUCGCAUAUAUUGACCUUCAGAACAACAGUCUCCACGGUGUACUACCCGCUAGUAUCAGCUCUCUAUCAUCACUAUCUUAUCUUGACCUUAGCUUCAACCAUCUCAAAGGGAAAAUUCCGUUUGAGUUUGGUGGCUUGCAGAGUCUCAUGCAGCUUGGUCUCUCAUCUAACAGACUCACAGGACAUAUCCCUGCGUCUCUUGGUAACCUAACAAUGUUAAAUUAUCUUGUCAUUCACCAGAACAUGGUAUCUGGUCCCAUUCCUAAGGAGAUUGGAAACCUUGUCAACCUACAAGGCCUACAGCUAAGCAACAACCCCUUAACCGGCAUGAUACCAAAAACCCUUGGAAAUCUGACCCAACUAAAUGAUUUGUACCUAUAUGGUAAUCAACUUUCAGGGCCUAUACCCCAAGAGCUAGGCAGACUGGUCCGUUUGCAAAGUCUUCAGCUUCUGUCAAAUGAUUUUUCAGGUCCAAUUCCAAUCUCCAUAACCAAUCUCACUAAGAUGAACACACUUUUUCUCUUUGAAAAUCAAAUCACAGGUUCAAUACCCCCAGAAAUAGGCAACCUCACUAUGCUCAAUGAACUUUCUCUCUAUACAAAUCAAAUCACAGGCCCAAUACCUUUUGAAUUGGGCUAUUUGCUGAAUCUCCAAAAUUUUGGGUUGUCCAACAACCAAAUAUCUGGCACUAUUCCUGAUAGCAUAGGAAAUAAUACCAAGCUAGUAGUACUAUCCCUCGAUCAAAAUCAGAUAACCGGCUCUAUCCCUAAAGGGAUUGGCAAUCUGCUAAACCUCAAAUAUUUAAACGUGUACCAGAACCAAAUUUCGGGAUCAAUACCUAAAACUUUUGGGAAGCUGCAAAACAUCCAAGAACUGUACAUCAACCAUAACAAAUUAUCAGGUUCUCUUCCUCAAGAAUUCGGAGACCUCAUAAACCUUGUUGCACUUGGGCUGGCUAACAACUCACUUUCAGGACCUUUACCUGCAAAUAUAUGUUCAGGGGGUAGGCUUCAAUAUCUAUAUCUCUUUUCUAAUAUGUUCAAUGGCCCCAUUCCAAGGAGUUUAAAGACAUGUACCAGUUUGGUUGAAAUUAGCCUUCAGAGGAACCAACUAACAGGAGAUGUAUCUCAGCACUUUGGUGUGUAUCCACAACUCAAAAGGAUGAGCUUUGCAUCGAAUAGAUUCUAUGGGCAGAUCCCACCAAAUCUAGAUGCAUGUACCAAAAUAACGAUACUACGUCUAGCACAAAAUAUGAUCACGGGUUCCAUACCUCCAAUCCUUUCUAAAUUGUUGAACCUAGAAGAACUAAGUCUCAAUUCUAAUCGCCUCAGCGGUGGGAUUCCACAAGAAAUCUGUAGUUUAGCAAAUUUAUAUAGACUGAACUUAUCAUCUAACCAAUUAUCUGGAUCCAUACCUACACACAUAGAAAAGCUAGGCAAUCUAGCAUACCUUGAUAUAUCUGGAAACAGACUGAGCGGGUCAGUACCUGAGGACCUAGGAGGCUGCAUGAAACUACUUUCCUUGAAGAUCAACAGCAACAGCUUCAAUGGGAGUUUGCCUGGUGUGAUUGGAAAUUUAGCAAGUCUGCAGAUCAUGUUAGAUGUAAGCAACAAUAACCUCAGUGGCGCAUUGCCGCAGCAACUUGGGAAGUUGGGGAUGCUGGAAUUUUGGAAUUUAUCCCAUAAUCAGUUCAGCGGCAUCAUUCCGUCCUCUUUUGCAAGCAUGGUGAGCCUUUCAACACUCGAUGUGUCCUACAACAACUUGGAAGGACCAAUCCCAACAACACGGCUACUCCAAAAUGCUUCAGCAAGUUGGUUUCUUCACAAUAAAGGUUUGUGUGGUAACCUAUCUGGCCUGCCAACUUGUUACUCAACUCCAGUAGCUGGUCAGCAUAAACGAAAGAUAAUUGGUUUUCUUUUGCCAAUUGUUCUUGUGAUGGGUUUUGGCAUUGUUGCUGCAAUUGUUGUCAUAAUAAUACUUACUCGUAAGAAGAGAAAACCACAGGAAAGUGUCACUUCUGAAGCAAGGGACCUAUUCUCUGUUUGGAAUUUUGAUGGAAGAUUAGCAUUUGACGAUAUUGUAAGGGCAACAGAAGACUUCGAUGAUAAGUACAUCACUGGAACAGGAGGAUACGGCAAAGUCUACAAGGCACAACUCCAAGACGGGCAGCUGGUUGCUGUGAAGAAGCUUCAUCAGACGGAAGAAGAGUUCGAUGGUGAAAGAAGAUUUCGUAGUGAAAUGGAAAUCUUAACACAGAUCCGACAACGAAGCAUCGUCAAAAUGUAUGGAUUCUGCUCCCAUCCAACAUAUAAAUUUCUCGUCUAUGACUACAUUCAGCAGGGAAGCCUCCACGGAAUAUUAGAAAAUCAGGAGCUAGCAAAGGAAUUAGAUUGGAAGAAGAGAAUUUCUCUUGCAACUGAUGUGGCUCAAGCAAUAUCUUAUUUGCACCACGAAUGCAGUCCAUCUAUAAUCCAUCGAGAUAUCACAAGCAACAACAUCUUACUUGAUACAUCCUUCAAGGCUUUUGUCUCGGAUUUCGGCACAGCAAGGAUUCUUAAGCCCGAUUCAUCAAACUGGAGUGCACUUGCAGGAACGUAUGGCUACAUAGCUCCUGAAUUGUCGUACACAUCUGUUGUGACAGAGAAAUGCGAUGUCUAUAGCUUUGGAGUGGUUGUGCUAGAGCUAGUGAUGGGGAAGCAUCCAAGGGAUCUAUUAGAUGGUACUAUGUCAAACGGAGAACAAGUCAUACUUGUGAAAGAUAUUCUGGACCAACGACUGACAACACCAACAACAGAAGAGAAUAGGUUAUCUCCUCUCAUCAAGCUGGCCUUUUCUUGCUUGGAAUCUUCUCCACAAGCAAGGCCAAGCAUGCAGGAGGCAUACCAAAUGCUCAUCAAGCGACCCUCAUCUAGUUCAUGUUCCGUGCCUUUCAGCACACUUACGUUACAGCAAGUAAGGAAGAGUUGA
rnacentral:rRNA from 1 species